AAACUAAAUAUUCCUAGAUAUUUUUUAUAAAAAGUAUCCUAUACCUUUUGUAUCAGGGUUUAACGAUUUUAAAAAAGAUUUUAUAUUUAGAGAUAAGAAGAUUUAAUUUUAUUAUUGUUUUUUCUGAGUGAGGAAAUAAAAAGUAAAAUUAGAACCGAAAUGGUAUCGCUUCUUAUUAUAACUAAUUUCCUAAAUAAAACAGGGUUCAGCUUUAAAACAUCUUACUAUAUUUUAAAUAAAAAAAUGAGGGCUUAGAAGUAGCCACUUUUUUGUGUAAAAACUUACAUUAAAAAUAAGAUAGUAUUUUAUUAGGGAAUAUUGCCUUAACAAGGAAGGUAGUUUAAAAUGUUAAAAUGAGUAUUGUCAUAUGAUAAUAUAAAAGAAGCAAUUCGGCAAAAAUAGCGGUAACUGUUUAUUAAAAACAUUUCCUUUUUACUUUUUGAAAGGUACGCCCUGCUCAAUGUUUUAAAAAAAAUAAAUAGCCGCAGUAACCUGACUGUGCUAAGGUAGCGCAAUCCAUAGUUUCUUAAUUAGAAACCAGUAUGAAUGGGCAAAUACUGCUAUGCUUUCUUCUUUUAUAAUCUAGAAAUUUAAAAUCUAAGUUAAAAUGCUAGAAUGAAAAAACAAGACGAGAAGACCCUGAGAAGUUUUCUUAUAUUAAAUAAUUUAGUUGGGGAAUCUAAAGAAAAUUAAACUUCUUUUUGUCAGCCUCUAAGAGAUAAAGAGAGAAAAUUACUCCGGGGAUAACAGGGUAAUUAUUUUUUGAGUGCGUAUUAAAAAAAUGGUUUGCUACCUCGAUGUUGGGUUAAAAUUACAAGAAUGUGCAGCAGCAUUCUGGGUUAGUCUGUUCGACUAUGAAAAUUUUACAUGACCUGAGUUUAGACCGGCGCGAGCCAGGUCGGCUUCUAUCUGUUUAAGAGAAUUCUUCUUGUACGAAAGGACUUUUGAAUUUUUAUAU
rnacentral:rRNA from 1 species